AGUAUUCCCGGGAACCGACGACAAUGUAAGGGUCGUUGAGGUUCGUAUAGCUAAACAUACAUAUAAGCGGCCGAUCACGCGAAUGUGUAAAUUAGCUGUCGAUUAAAUUCCCGUUGGUAUUAAAUUCGCCGAGAAUAACAUAGAACGAUGGGCUAUAAAGUUCUUAUGGUAUCGGCUGUUCACGGGUAUACGAGGCAAAGGACUUAGAUGAGAAACAAAGACUCGAUCGUAUGAUCGGUGUUUGGGCAUCGGUCUUUGUCACUCGUACGGGCGGUCGGAUUAAGGAGUCGGUACGGUACGAUACCAUCUCCUUACACCGUUCCCGAAGACAAACUCGUGGAAUUUCGGAUUUUGCCGAUUCCGUGAACUCGCUGGACAGUCAGUCAGUUAGCAACGAGCAACGAUGGCAAACGACGGCAAUCGAAAUGGAAACCGAGGCCACCGCGGAGUUCAACACCAAAUUUGAACAAUGUCUCACGCUGGCUUAUGUAAAGGGAACGACCCGAAAGCGACCAGCCAUGGACACCGCCGAGCAGGACGCGGUGGGCCUGCCCUGCGAUGAAGUACCACCUCGAACGGACCCCGUGCCGCCGAUCGCUGCUUCUUCAGGCGAAAGGAUAUCGCCUCGCCAGGAGCAAGCUGGACCAGAAGCGGAGCGACGGACAUCACGGGACGAAAUAAUUAUUCCUCUCCCGCACUGUACGCUCCGCAUACCGGGGCACAUUCCUACUGGGGCCCGAAAAUAUCGGUGUAAGGUGCCCCAAGGACGGUACGUUCUUCGAUGUAACGAGGAGGGCAUCCUACAUUCGAUGGUGCUGAAACCUGCGAGCAAUACUGCGGUGAUCGCCCAGCCACGAGCGAGGUCAGUACGUGCACUGGCACCGACGUCCGUACAGCCUGCAGUCCAGCCUGCGGCCCCGCCAUCAACCAGCCGUAGGCGACGAGGACCACGAAGGCGACAGGACAGAAGUCCGGACCAACGGUAUCUGCCACAGCCGCGAGGAAGAAACCCCGGGUCUGGAAGCCGCCAGCAUUAACAUCGGGCAGAGCGACGAUCGGACCGACGUAUGCCGACCUGGCCGAGCGGCGAUCGCCAAGGACGCGGACCAGGGCGUCGAAACGAAGGACAGGCGCUACCGGACGAGCACCGGAAUCAGUUAGGUCUCGCACUGCAGGCGACGUUAAACCUCCUCGGUUUUGGGGAAAAGGGGUUUGGAGAUCGAGAUCGUCCGUUCCAUAACAAGACGGAUGUGUAUGGAGCGUUGUCACCGUGAUGACCAGGUUCUAGGAUGCGAUCAUCAAGCGUCAAGGACGAGGAUGGAUUUGGUUGUCCGCCAGAGCAAGGAAUAGGGUUAUGCCGUCCUGCUUGGUUGUGUACCAAGGCAAGGAAUAGGGCUAUACCGUCCUGUCUGGUUGUUGAUUUGGUUGUCCGCCAGAGCAAGGAAUAGGGCUAUGCCGUCCUGUUUGGUUGUUCAUGUGAUUGUUCGCCAAAGCAAGGAAUAGGGCUAUGCCGUCCUGUCUGGUUGUUGAUUUGGUUGUCCGCCGGAGCAAGGAAUAGGGUUAUGCCGUCCUGCUUGGUUGUGUACCAAGGCAAGGAAUAGGGCUAUACCGUCCUGUCUGGUUGUUGAUUUGGUU